rnacentral:rRNA from 1 species
AACGAACGCUGGCGGCAGGCUUAACACAUGCAAGUCGAACGCCCCGCAAGGGGAGUGGCAGACGGGUGAGUAACGCGUGGGAACAUACCCUUUUCUACGGAAUAGCUCUGGGAAACUGGAAUUAAUACCGUAUACGCCCUACGGGGGAAAGAUUUAUCGGGGAAGGAUUGGCCCGCGUUGGAUUAGCUAGUUGGUGGGGUAAAGGCCUACCAAGGCGACGAUCCAUAGCUGGUCUGAGAGGAUGAUCAGCCACAUUGGGACUGAGACACGGCCCAAACUCCUACGGGAGGCAGCAGUGGGGAAUAUUGGACAAUGGGCGCAAGCCUGAUACAGCCAUGCCGCGUGAGUGAUGAAGGCCUUAGGGUUGUAAAGCUCUUUCACCGAUGAAGAUAAUGACGGUAGUCGGAGAAGAAGCCCCGGCUAACUUCGUG